rnacentral:rRNA from 1 species
CCUACGGGAGGCAGCAGUAGGGAAUCUUCCACAAUGGGCGAAAGCCUGAUGGAGCAACGCCGCGUGGGUGAAGAAGGUCUUCGGAUCGUAAAACCCUGUUGUUAGAGAAGAAAGUGCGUGCGAGUAACUGUUCACGUUUCGACGGUAUCUAACCAGAAAGCCACGGCUAACUACGUGCCAGCAGCCGCGGUAAUACGUAGGUGGCAAGCGUUAUCCGGAUUUAUUUGGCGUAAAGGGAACGCAGGCGGUCUUUUAAGUCUGAUGUGAAAGCCGUCGGCUUAACCGGAGUAGUGCAUUGGAAACGGGGAGACUUGAGUGCAGAAGAGGAGAGUGGAACUCCAUGUGUAGCGGUGAAAUGCGUAGAUAUAUGGAAGAACCCCAGUGGCGAAAGCGGCUCUCUGGUCUGUAACUGACGCUGAGGUUCGAAAGCGUGGGUAGCAAACAGGAUUAGAUACCCCUGUAGUC